rnacentral:tRNA from 1 species
GGGGGCGUAGCGUAGCCUGGUUUAACGCGUCAGAUUGUCGAUCUGAAGAUCGCGGGUUCAAAUCCCGUCGCCCCCG